GUUGGAAACGACUGCUAAUACCGCAUAAGCGCACAGUACCGCAUAGUACCGUGUGAAAAACUCCGGUGGUAUGAGAUGGACCCGCGUCUGAUUAGCUAGUUGGUGGGGUAACGGCCUACCAAGGCGACGAUCAGUGGCCGACCUGAGAGGGUGACCGGCCACAUUGGGACUGAGACACGGCCCAAACUCCUACGGGAGGCAGCAGUGGGGAAUAUUGCACAAUGGGGGAAACCCUGAUGCAGCAACGCCGCGUGAGUGAAGAAGUAUUUCGGUAUGUAAAGCUCUAUCAGCAGGGAAGAAAAUGACGGUACCUGACUAAGAAGCCCCGGCUAACUACGUGCCAGCAGCCGCGGUAAUACGUAGGGGGCAAGCGUUAUCCGGAUUUACUGGGUGUAAAGGGAGCGUAGACGGCGAGACAAGUCUGAAGUGAAAGCCCGGGGCUCAACCCCGGGACUGCUUUGGAAACUGCCUUGCUAGAGUGCUGGAGAGGUAAGUGGAAUUCCUAGUGUAGCGGUGAAAUGCGUAGAUAUUAGGAGGAACACCAGUGGCGAAGGCGGCUUACUGGACAGUAACUGACGUUGAGGCUCGAAAGCGUGGGGAGCAAACAGGAUUAGAUACCCUGGU
rnacentral:rRNA from 1 species